CAGGGAGACAACAAAAUGUUUAAUAUUAUUAUUUUGUCACCUUAGGUCGAUCGGUAUCUCACGUUCUUGAUUUAUUAAGAAUUUCAUUUCCUAAGUUUUUCUAGGUCACACCCAUUUAUUUUCCUGGGCCAUUAGUUCAGGUGGUUAGAGCGCACCCCUGAUAAGGGUGAGGUCCCUGGUUCAAGUCCAGGAUGGCCCAUAUCUCUAUGUUGGGGGUAUAGCUCAGUUGGUAGAGCGCCUGCUUUGCAAGCAGGAUGUCAGCGGUUCGAGUCCGCUUACCUCCACUGAUUACCACCUCUACCAUAAUUUGUAGAAAGGAAAUGUUUUGAGUUGUGAUCUAAUUCUGAACGAAUCUGGCUUCCUAAUAAAAUUAUUAAGAUGCUGGACUCAUUGAAUUAAUUUCAUUGUUUUCAGAGAACCUUGACAACUGCAUAGAUUAUUUUUAAAGACAAUAAGCAUCUUUAAUGAUGCAGAUUUAUUAUUUGUGCGAAUGCAUUAAUAACAAUUCUAUUAAGCUGAUGCUUCAAUUUUUGAAGUUAUU
rnacentral:tRNA from 1 species